CGUUGAACCACCGGUCCCCAACACGAUCACUGAGGUUAAGCAACAUCGAGCCUGGUCAGUACCUAGAUGGGUGACUGCUUGAGAAUACCAGGUGCUGUAAG